UAUAUAAUGCAGUGAUAAUUAGACAAAUAAGGCUUAUACUGAGUCAAUACCCACCAUUGAAAUUCCCUAUGUCAACAAGUCACGUUGCAAUUUCAAGCAGGGGGCGACCUCUGCUAUUCACCCUGGGAUUGAUCACCGAGGAAAAGGGCGGGGCCACAUACACCUGAAGCCCCACCCACCCCGCACCCCUUUAUAAAGCACUUGGCUUGUUCCUGCAGUCUGACCCUCCUCUCCUCGGUGACAGGUCUCAACAUCACCCCUCCGCCCAAUGGUAUCGCCCGGCCCCGCGCCGUUCCACCCCCACCGCUCCCGCUCAGUGGUCGCGCCCGCGCUUCCUACCCAAACAUGGCGGCGGGAGGCGGUUGCCAACGGCGACAACCGGCUGCACUUGUAUCCUUUGGUGGAUGGACUUCGACCGCAUGCGUCGGGACGACGGAAGAACUGAAGGAAUUUAGGACUAGGGCGGGUUAAAGGCCGAGCCACCCCGACAGGAAAUCAGGUGCUGGUGGGAGAUGCAGUGUUUUUGUACGGCGCGCAUGCGCUUCGCUUGGAGCCUGCUGGGGAAUGUAGUCUUAUUGGCUUUUCUCUGUUGCUGACUCUUUUGAGCACCAGAUGAAGAUUUCAUUUCUGCACACACGUUGCCGCGGAGGCUCCUGAACAAUGUGGUCUAAACUGGGAUAUUGCUUACAGGAUCUAAGAAGGCCAGUAUAUGUUCCCCAUCGCUAAUUGUCCUUCAAAAAAGAUCGGGGUCAUGCCACACCCUUUAAUCGACAGUCUGAUGAAACGGGCUGCAGGGUUCAGAGCCAGUGACGGCUUAUAGAUUUGGGAGAGCAGGAGAGGCACCAGGGUUAGGAGGAGAUGUAGUCGAAGUUGCCCGGGCGAGGAAACGAUGUGAACUCUGCAGACACACGCUAUCCGCCAGUGGUGAAGAGAGAUGUCUGGGGGCACGGAUGGGAUGCCAAACGAGGACUGGAUGGUGUUGGCCUUCUGUACAGUUGUCGGACCUUGGCAGGUGGGGAUUGUCCUGUCACACUCCUGAGCUGUAGAUCACGGAGAAGGGAAUGUAGUGAUGUGGAAUGCAGAGUCUAACUCCAGCCAGGGAAGUUAACAUCACACUCCUGACCGGUGGGAAGGCCCGGGAGGUGAGUCACCCACAUCAGGACUCCACCCCCUCCACAACCAUCCUGCUUCUGCGCUGGCAAGGAGCUUCCAGUCAGCUUCCAGCACACGGCGUGAGCGGCGUGGGGUGGGGGCACAGGAACACGGCCCCGUUGCCCUCGCCAUUUUUUUUGUAAUUUAUUUUUUAUUGAAGUUCAUCAUCAAACAAACAUUUCCAUAAGAGGUAUUUCAGGUACUGUACAUAUAUAUCAUAUAAUCAUAUAUGUCACAAAUCUCCACAUAAUAUUUAUCUUAGAGGAAACAAAGAACAAGCGACAGGAGAAAACUAUGUUCAAGUGGGGAGUGAUCUUUUUUUACAACAUAUUCAUUGAUUUGUGAGGAUAAAAUCGGGCCUAUGAGGCAUUAUGUAGUUAAAUCAUUUUCCCAGUAUGAAUUAAAUUGUUCCAACUUAUGAUUAACAGAUGCUGUUAUCUUCUCCAUGUUGUAAACAUCCAUUGUAAUUUCCAUCCAUGUAUUUAAGGUUGGGCUCUCCUGUGAUAACCAUUUCCUAGUAAGAGUCUUUUUUACCAGUCACCAACAGUAUAUUCAUUAAAUAUUUAUCUCUUUACAACCAUUCUUGAGGUAUAUAUCCAAAAUAUAUGGUCUUACUCUCUAAAGGUAUUUCACAUCUAAAGAUGUCUUGUAGGGCAUUGUGUAUCCCACUCCAAUAGUCUUUGAUAACGGUGCAUUCCCAGAAAAUAUGAUAAUGAUUUGCAUUUUGAUUUCCACAAUUUCUCCAGCAAACAGGGAUAUUACUAUCAUAAUGGGAUUUCUGAGAGGGUGUAAUAAAAUAUCUUAAUAAGUUUUUCCAUCCGAACUCCCUCCAUUUCUGUGAACUGGUACACUUCUAUUGAUACCUCCAUAUUGUUGUCCAUUCUUCCUCAGAUAUAAUUAUCCCUCCUUCCUUCUCCCAUUUUGUUUUAAUGUAUGAAGUCGAAUAUAUUUUAAGAUUUGACAAACCCUUAUACAUGCUUGAAAUUAUUCUACCACCGUUAUUUGAAUUAUACACUUUUCUAAAUAGCUCUAUCAAGCAUGUACUUGCCUUGGUUACAUUUUUAACUGUCCUAUUAACAUAUUGUCACAAACCCUUAUACAUACUUGAAAUUAUUCUACCACCGUUAUUUGAAUUAUAUACUUUUCUAAAUAGCUCUAUCAAGCAUGUACUUGCCUUGGUUACAUUUUUAACCAUCCUAUUAACAUAUUGUCACAUCUGUAAAUACCAAUAAAAAUAUUGUUUUUCUAAUGUGUUUCUCUUUAAGCAUCUGAAAACUGAACAGUGUUCCUUCUUUUAUUCUUUUGCAAAGAACUGUUGUUCCUUUAGCUGUCCAGUCCUUAAAUCUAGCAUCCAAUUUAUUUGGCGUGAAAUCCGAGUCAUGAAUGCCAUUUAAGAAUUGCAAUGUCUCCCUCUAGUUUAUAUUCUUUCAUAAUAGUUUUCCAUAUUUUAAGAGUCCAUUUCACCUAUGGGUUAUCAAUAGUAUUUAUGUACCUUUGUAGGUUGUUAUCAGCCAAAAUUGCCUGUAUAGGGAUGGGAAGUACCCGCUCCUCAAUGUUUUACCAUUGAGCGUCAUAUGAUAGGAUACACCAACAUAUCACAGCUCUCAACCGUGCUGCAAAAUAAUGAUCUCUAGGAGAAGGUAGGCCCCAUCCCCCCUUUUCCUUGGCUAAUUGCAAAGUUUUGAGACGAACUCUAGGCCUUUUACCUUGCCAAAUAUAUCUUGAUGA